rnacentral:rRNA from 1 species
UGAUCUCGAAUCAGACAAGAUUACCCGCUGAGCUUAAGCAUAUUAAUAAGCGGAGGACAAGGAACUAACAAGGAUUCC